ensembl:lncRNA
CACUUAGGACUGAUGGGAGUGAAGCCCUUAAGGGCAAGGACUGCCUCUUCUCCCUCACACUUACCAGCAGCUGGUCUAACUCGGUACUUACAAUGGGAGACACACCCCCCAGAAGUGACCCUGGCUGUCUAAAAUCCUGUCCAGAAGAAAAUUAUUGAGAGAAAGCUGAAAAAGGAAAAGCUGCCCUCCAACAUACCCAGAAUCUUGCUGGAGAUGGAAACGAACAGGGAUGGAAACAUGACAGCAGAAAAAUACAGACCGUUUUGAAGUCUGCCCACCUGGGAGUCAAGCCACAUUGAAAAUCAAUAAGGCAUCAAGGCCGGGAGCACGGAAAGCGGACUGGAUACCUGCUUAGGCCUCCUUUAAAGCAAGGAAACCUUUGAAGUUUCAGACGACCAAUAAAAAUACAGCUGGCAUUUACAGCUUCGACUCCUCCUGCCUCUGCUUUUCACCAAGUACCUCAAGCUGCAGCCACAGUCACUCCAGGCUGGAAUGUUGGCCCAGGACCACAGGGCCCAUGCCGUUGACAAGGCCAGUGGCUCCUGGCAUGCACUGGCUAAGGACUGGUGAUUAACUCUAGGCAUGCUGGCACUUUCCCAGGACAACCCUGGCUGGGGUUCUGCACACCAGAUGCGGUGGCUGAGGUCCCCUUGGAUUACUGUAGUAAGGCCUGUAACACGAGAAGGAUGAACCUGAGGGAAUGACUCCCUUCCACCUUACCUCAGAAGAUGGAGGCAUCCAAACAGCAGAAGUUGACCUCUGAAGCACCCUCCUGCUCCUAGGGGAAUGUCAUCAGGAAGAAACUGCAGGCUGAAAAGCAACAGCAGGGUUGAGGGGACUAGCAGCUCUCAGAAGAACCUGCGGUCCUGCCCUACCUGGAUGUGGUCUUACAAGGUCUCUCACUACCGCCUCCCUCUACCCCGUUCAUUUCCUUCCUGCCGACUUGGCUCAUGACUGCCCACCCCACCCCCAGCCCAGAGAUCCAGCUCCUCUAGAAAGCCUCCCCGAGACCUUGAAAGCCAGAAAGGAUUUUGUCCCGCCUCGGGCUUUCAAACUGUGUGUGUGUGUUAGUUGCUCAGUUCUGUCCGACUCUUUGUGGUCGUGUGGAAUCCACCAGUCUCCUCUUUCCUUGGAAUUCUCCAGGCAAGAAUCCUGCAGUAGGUAGCCAUUCCCUUCUCCAAGGGAUCUUCCCGACCCAGGGAUUAAACCCAAGUCUCCUGCAUUGCAGGCAGAUGCUUUACCAUCUGAGGAACUAGGAAAACUCUCCAACCACUCAGUCCCAAUGAUUGUCUCUGCUCUGUUCUGUUGGCUCUGUUCCUAUGCAGCUUUGCAAACUGCACUUCAGCUAGUAGCUACUGGGUAAGUUUUUGAGGGCAAGCCAACCUUAAGGGUUUCACAACUUUGCAUCCUUUCUCCUUGGCCCGACUACCCAACACACACACACACACAUAAAACGCGGACCAACAGAGAGUACCCUGCUCUGUUAUGAAAUGUAACUUUCAUUAGGGGUUUUACUUCCCCCUAGACCCUAAGGUACCCCUGUUGAAGGCCCUGCCCACAAGCAAAUAGAAAAUGAUAAUCAACUUGGCAACCACUUCUCUACUUUCAUCUCCUAAGCUGAACUAAUUUCUGGGGUUUCCACCUCCUCUGAGCCAGUGCUUCCUGUUGAGGAAAUAAAUGUCAAAUGAUUUCACCAUUCAGAGUGAUGAUCACAGUGGAUUUCUGGGUAGCAAGCAGGCAGGGGAGGCCCCCUUUAAAAAGUAGACAUCCUUGAUUACUUUGAAGGGAAAAGGGUGAAGGGCUUUGAGGGGAGUGGGACGAAGGGUCAGAUUUCUCCAGAAUGACUCAGAGUAAUACCUCCUCUCAGCAGCCACCCUAUGAAUUCUGACACAUCUCAAAAAACAGGAGUCUGGAAAAAGCAGUCAGAAUCUCUUACCUUCUGCAAAAAGCUACUGUGCACAGUCUGUCCCUUUGUAGUUUGAAGGAUUUUUUUUUUUUUUUUUAAAUCAAACCAUCUUGGAAAAAUCAAAAAGCAGAUGCACCCAUAAUUGAAGUUGGCAAGAGCAACAGAAACCUUGUUAUAGGUGUUACAGGCCCUCAUACCCCAAUUAACCUGGGGGUGCGGGAGUGGAGGGGCUGUGGGUUUCUCUGCACAGACGUCUCGGGGGAGAGGCCCUGGUGGGCAGGAGAUUUAGGUACCCUGAGAUCCUUCUGGAAACUAAGGCCCAGGACCCUCGGCCAGUCCUGAUGUAGAAUCACUCUCCAGCAUUGGGAAAGCCACAUCCAGGGGAGUCCUGGCCCCGGGCUAGUCCUGGAGAAGUGGGGCUGCUAUGCGGCUGCCAGCCCACCCGAGAGAGAGCAGGGAGCACCCACAGCCCCGACCCGGGGCCGAAUUUUACUACCUGCC